rnacentral:rRNA from 1 species
CGAGUGGCGGACGGGUGAGCAAUGUCUGGGAAACUGCCCGAUGGAGGGGGAUAACUACUGGAAACGGUAGCUAAUACCGCAUAACGUCGCAAGACCAAAGAGGGGGACCUUCGGGCCCCUUGCCAUCGGAUGUGCCCAGAUGGGAUUAGCUAGUAGGUGGGGUAAAGGCCCACCUAGGCGACGAUCCCUAGCUGGUCUGAGAGGAUGACCAGCCACACUGGAACUGAGACACGGUCCAG